rnacentral:tRNA from 1 species
GCGAUAGUUUAAAUGGGUAUUGGUAAGUAAACGAUAGAAAUGAUACGGGGCUUGGAUUGUGAUUCCAAGGGUCACGGGUUCAAGCCCCGUACAUCGCCCCA